rnacentral:rRNA from 1 species
GUGAACGCUGGCGGUAGGCCUAACACCUGCAAGUCGAACGGCAGCACAGUAAGAGCUUGCUCUUACGGGUGGCGAGUGGCGGACGGGUGAGGAAUACAUCGGAAUCUACUUUUUUGUGGGGGAUAACGUAGGGAAACUUACGCUAAUACCGCAUACGACCUACGGGUGAAAGCAGGGGAUCUUCGGACCUUGCGCGAUUGAAUGAGCCGAUGUCGGAUUAGCUAGUUGGCGGGGUAAAGGCCCACCAAGGCGACGAUCCGUAGCUGGUCUGAGAGGAUGAUCAGCCACACUGGAACUGAGACACGGUCCAGACUCCUACGGGAGGCAGCAGUGGGGAAUAUUGGACAAAGGGCGCAAGCCUGAUCCAGCCAUACCGCGUGGGUGAAGAAGGCCUUCGGGUUGUAAAGCCCUUUUGUUGGGAAAGAAAAGCAGCAGGUUAAUACCCCGCUGUUCUGACGGUACCCAAAGAAUAAGCACCGGCUAACUUCGUG